GAUGAACGCUGGCGGCGUGCCUAACACAUGCAAGUCGAGCGAUUCUCUUCGGAGAAGAGCGGCGGACGGGUGAGUAACGCGUGGGUAACCUGCCCUGUACACACGGAUAACAUACCGAAAGGUAUGCUAAUACGAGAUAAUAUGCUUCUAUCGCAUGGUAGAAGUAUCAAAAGCUCCGGCGGUACAGGAUGGACCCGCGUCUGAUUAGCUAGUUGGUAAGGUAGCGGCUUACCAAGGCGACGAUCAGUAGCCGACCUGAGAGGGUGAUCGGCCACAUUGGAACUGAGACACGGUCCAAACUCCUACGGGAGGCAGCAGUGGGGAAUAUUGCACAAUGGGCGAAAGCCUGAUGCAGCAACGCCGCGUGAGCGAUGAAGGCCUCGGUCGUAAGACUCUGUCCUCAGAAGAUAAUGACGGUACUUGAGGAGGAAG
rnacentral:rRNA from 1 species